UACAGAGGUCCCAAGCGUUGUUCGGAUUUACUGGGCGUAAAGGGUGCGUAGGUGGCGAGGUAAGUUCGAUGUGAAAUCUCCGAGCUCAACUCGGAAAUGGCAUUGAAUACUAUCCCGCUUGAGGGUCGGAGGGGAGACUGGAAUUCUCGGUGUAGCAGUGAAAUGCGUAGAUAUCGGGAGGAACACCAGCGGCGAAGGCGGCUUUCUGGACCAAUACUGACGCUGAGACGCGAAAGCGUGGGGAGCAAACAGG
rnacentral:rRNA from 1 species